AGGUUUAUAGAGAGAGAGAAAAAAAAAGAGAGAGAGAUGGGAGUUGGGAAAACAGGGUUGAGGCACACUUCUAAGGCACCCAAUUGGGGAGUAAAGGAUAUGAGGAUCUGUGGGGAUAGGAUCCCUUGUUGGGGACUCCAUUUCAAAAGGCUUUAUACAUUAUUUUCUUCAAUCAGAAGAGAUAUCCAAAACGGGAAAGGCCACAAAAACAAUGAUCAGACUCUCAAAACUCUUAAGAUGGGGUUUUAAUUCGAAGGGAAUUCAGGGAAGUGUGUGAAGCACAGCAGAUUGGUGGUGAAAGAAGGCUUCUUCUACCACAAGGAACAAAAGUGGUUGACAAAGACAUUUUACCAUGAACCAUAUGAGAAAAUGCAUGAUUUGUUGAAUAAAUGAAUGGAACAAAAAUGCCACAAAAUCCCUCUUUCUUGUCUAAGCUAAAAGAAAAGAAAAGAAAAGAAAACCAAAAACAAAUUCACACCUUUGCUCUUUCUCUUACCCUCUGCCAUGAGCUGAAAGGAAUGGGGUGGCUCCAAUCCUUCUUCUCCCCAUUGAAGAAGCUCUGGGUUCGACUCCAUUCUUCGUCGAAAAAACGAAGAGGGAUAUAUAUUCUGUAUGAGGAUGUCAAAUCAUGUCCCUGUGAAGAUGUGCAUGUGCUUUGGUCAAUAUUAGUGGAAUCACACACUUCAUUUCCACCAAAACAAUGAAGCUUUCAACCUCCUAAACACAGUUUCCCCAGCAAUGUACAUAAAAUAUUUAUAAUGCUUUACAUACUGAAGGGGGAAAAAAUGAAUGCCCAGAAAUAAAAGUUUACCUUCACCAUUUUCACCAUUUUUCUCUCUUCUGUCUAAUUUUUUGUGUAGCUUCUUACAGUAGUUGCUUUGUCCAUUUCAGCAGUUGUGGUGGCAGUUGAAUUCUAAAUUCUAUACCUUCAAGGUAGAUUCUGAUAA